rnacentral:misc_RNA from 1 species
GGAUCACCUCCUUUUGAGCAAAGACAACAUCGUCCUGUCGGGCGUCUUCACAAAGUACCUGCAUUCAGAGAAUCGCAUCGGCCAGGCCGGUGUGAGUGUCCCUUUUGGGGCCUUAGCUCAGCUGGGAGAGCACCUGCUUUGCAAGCAGGGGGUCGUCGGUUCGAUCCCGACAGGCUCCACCAUCUGAGCUGUUCCGGAAGAGUCUUCCGGGUCUGUAGCUCAGGUGGUUAGAGCGCACCCCUGAUAAGGGUGAGGUCGGUAGUUCGAGUCUACCCAGACCCACCAUUCUCUGAAUGACGCAUACAAUCGAUCUUUAUACGCAUCGGCACUGUGGCCGGUACGUGUUCUUUUAAAACUUGUGACGUAGCGAGCGUUUGAGAUACAUCUAUCAGACGUGUCGUGAGGCUAAGGCGGGAAUCGGAAGAUUCCUUAUUAAUUGAGUCGUUAUAUUCGUAUCCGGGCUUUGUACCCCCGGGUCAAAUAUAUAACCCGAG